GUGACCGUUUCAGGGGGAAGUUAUGAUGUUGAUUUAUGUUUAUUGUAAAGUAUGAACACUUUCAGCAUAGAAAGAGCAUGAGCAUGUCGACUAGAGGAGUAGUGCCGGCUCCGCUCUGCCAGGGCUUUCUGAAGAAACGGAAAGACAAAAUGAGGCUUCGGUGGGUGACUUACUGGUUCAGGCUUUACAAUACAACUCUUUUUUUCUACACUAAAAAACACGGGAGUGCUUUAGACCUCAGGGGCCAGUAUUACAUAUAUGAGGUUCAGUCUGUGCGGGAGGUCAGCAGAUCGGAGAACAAUCGCUAUCUAUUUGAGAUCACAAUGAAAAAUGGGAAGAAGAAAAUGCUGGCGAGUUUUCACGUUGGUCAAGAGAGUGUCUGUAAUCUGUGUUUGAGGAUGUGGUCUACCAACAACCACUUGUGAACAAUGUUACUUUGUUGAGAUUAAGGCAGGGCGUAGGACGUAGUAGUUUUAAAAAAGGAACAUGGAUGGUGCUCGUUGUGACUGAAAGAAUUAUGAAUACUCACUUUAUAUCCAUAAACAUCUGUGAACUUUGUACUGUCAGGCUGCAGAUACAGCUGAUGUCAGGCAGGAGUGGAUGGACCAGCUGUGGAAAGCCAUGCUGCUCAAUAAUGGCCCAGACAGAUCUGGAUCUAUCACCGAUGGAUUAGGGAGCUGGUGCCAGAUAACAACCCUGAAAUUCCUUCUAGCCGGAGUGAAGAAUCAAAUAAUGAGACCAGCAGCACUUCAGUGAACAGCACGGAUCAAGAGUCAUUCAAGUCCUUCACUGGUACAUCCCACAUUUGGGAUGCGACUUUCUCCAGUUCUUCCUCCCGUUGACUUUUGAUUGUUUUCUGUAAUACCAUUAACAGAACUGUCAGGUCAAGUCGCCAUUUUCAUACAAUAGCCUACAGAUUGCGUCAAAACAGCUUUACAGAGAUUAACAGGAAAUAGUCAUUUCCAACUCAGCCAUGGAGACAGUUCAGCUUCUGCUAAAAGCAGCUCUAAAAGACAAUAGUGUCAUUAUUUAUCUCAAGUCAGUUCAGAUCAAUAGAAUAGGCAGCAAUGUUGUUAGUUCAAUAUUGAUUCAGUUCAGUAUAGUGUCGAUGUUGCAGGAAGUGAUUCAGCUGUAAAGCAGUUCUACAGAAAACAAUAAAACAAUAGUGCCAUCAUCCCGUUUAGUUCAGUUCAUGUUUGGUUCUCAUCCAGUGGUGUCGAAUCAAUUCAGUCAUAUUGAUAAGUGUUCAAUAACAAUCUCUGUGUUUCUCAAAAGUUUUGGUCUAAUGGACUUUAAAUGGAGGUACUGAAAUCUCUUAAGGUUUUAGUAAAAUAUUAUUUGUGUUUUGAAGAUGAAUGAAAGUCUUAUGGGUUUGGAAGGACUUAAAUAGGACAGAUUUUUCAUUUUGGGGGGAACCAGUUAUUCCUUUUAGCAGAUAAACAUCAUGGUCAGUCGUGUGUCUGGGAAACUUCCCAGGCAAAAGAACAUUUGAAAUACAUUUAUGGAUAUCGAUGUAUAUUCCUACAAGAAUCAUUCUUACAAUUUUUGUCCUCAGUUGCUGAUGAGACACAAGACAGUUUUCACACAGGCAACGAAAUGGAGCAAAGUACCAAGGAGUUUUUACUGACGGACUGUGACUACGAUGUUUUACCGUCUCGAAAACUUGCUGAGGAAGCCCUUUAUGACACUCCCCAUUCCCAAUGGUCAACCAAUGUGGGAGAACAUGAAGUGACUGAUAGCAUCUAUGAUUUCCCAAACCCUGUGAUUAGGAAAUUGACUGAACACACAAUUGAAUCUCACAGCAGUAGUGAGAGGCCUGAGAGUGGUGGUCUUCUGAGUGACAUGAUAGCCUGUUUGGACAGUGAAUCUGCUGCCUGGGUCAAACCUGCUCCUCCGUGAUGGGUCAAUUUGAGCAAGACUGGGAUGAUGAUAAAUGUUUGUUGUUGCCGUAAUCCUUAAUUUUGCUUGUCAUACAUCCGUUUUCCAUCCAAACGGUCAUCACUUAUGUAGAACAAUGACUGAUUGUUGUGGAAUUUCAAACUGUCCUCGAUCAUCUAAGCUAAACAGUGAAGUGUCAAUAAAAUGUCUUUUGUCCUGUCACAAUUCAAAAUAAAUUUUAAUCAAACCAAUUAA